rnacentral:rRNA from 1 species
AACGAACGCUGGCGGCAGGCUUAACACAUGCAAGUCGAACGCACUCUUCGGAGUGAGUGGCAGACGGGUGAGUAACGCGUGGGAACGUACCUUUCGGUUCGGAAUAACCCAGGGAAACUUGGGCUAAUACCGGAUGCGCCGGAAACGGGAAAGAUUUAUCGCCGAAAGAUCGGCCCGCGUCGGAUUAGCUAGUUGGUGGGGUAAAGGCCUACCAAGGCGACGAUCCGUAGCUGGUCUGAGAGGAUGAUCAGCCACACUGGGACUGAGACACGGCCCAGACUCCUACGGGAGGCAGCAGUGGGGAAUAUUGGACAAUGGGCGAAAGCCUGAUCCAGCCAUGCCGCGUGAGUGAAGAAGGCCUUAGGGUUGUAAAGCUCUUUCAGCGGGGACGAUAAUGACGGUA